rnacentral:rRNA from 1 species
UACGUAGGGGGCGAGCGUUGUCCGGAUUUAUUGGGCGUAAAGAGCUCGUAGGCGGUUUGGUAAGUCGGGUGUGAAAUCUCCACGCUCAACGUGGAGGGGCCACUCGAUACUGCCAUGACUCGAGUCCGGUAGAGGAGUGUGGAAUUCCCGGUGUAGCGGUGAAAUGCGCAGAUAUCAGGAAGAACACCUAUGGCGAAGGCAGCUCUCUGGGACGGUACUGACGCUGAGACGCGAAAGCGUGGGGAGCGAACAGG